rnacentral:sRNA from 1 species
GCCAGGCAUGGUGGUGCAUGCCUGUAAUCCCAGUUGCUUGGGAGGUGGAGGCAGGAGGAUUGCUAGUUCAAAGCCAGCCUCAGCAAUUAAGUGAGGUGCUAAACAACUCAAUGAGACCCUGUCUCUA